rnacentral:rRNA from 1 species
CGAGAGGACCGGGAUGGACGCACCGCUGGUGUACCAGUUGUUCUGCCAAGGGCAUCGCUGGGUAGCUAUGUGCGGACGGGAUAAGUGCUGAAAGCAUCUAAGCAUGAAGCCCCCCUCAAGAUGAGAUUUCCCAUUCCGCAAGGAAGUAAGAUCCCUGAAAGAUGAUCAGGUUGAUAGGUCUGAGGUGGAAGUGUGGCGACACAUGGAGCUGACAGAUACUAAUCGAUCGAGGACUUAACCAAUUU